GGGAAACCGAGGGCUAAUACGAUAAUAUUUGAACCGCAUGGUUCAAUAGUGAAAGACGGUUUCGGGCUGUCACUUAUAGAUGGACCCGCGCCGUAUUAGCUAGUUGGUAAGGUAACGGCUUACCAAGGCGACGAUACGUAGCCGACCUGAGAGGGUGAUCGGCCACACUGGAACUGAGACACGGUCCAGACUCCUACGGGAGGCAGCAGAC
rnacentral:rRNA from 1 species